CUAGGAUGGACUUAAUUCUGUCCGAUAAAACAGACACCCCAACUUUGAACCAAGAGCUCAGACCAAAACAAAGAACGGGGUGAAACAAUUGGUGAUUGCAAGAGACUUGGCUGAAAGUCUGGGCGUUGCCCCUCGAUCGUGCUGUGAACAUCUAGCUGGUCAUCAAGAGACUUCAACCACUUGCCACGUCUGACCACCAAAGAGAACUUGCAAGCGGCUGCAUAAGAGAACUUCAAAACUCGUUAUUCGCGCGCUACCAGAGAGUCAUCAAAUCCGAAGGAGGAAUCCCGAGUGACGUCACGCGACAACAACACGUCAGCAGGAAAAGUCCUGGGUCCCCUUUCAGCAACCCUUCAAGAAGUACAGCCUUCAAUUCAACGCACGCUAAAUGGCAACACCUAUCCCCUACACACGUCCGGGACCGAUCCGCUGCAAGUGUAUGGCUAACAGAACCACUUGCAAAGCUGUCACCUUCGCAGCUGAUGGCACAGAAAUGACAAUUUCAUCACUGAAAGUCAAGUCAACAAGUGCCCUUAGUGAUGGAAAAAUGUUUAUCUGUGUUCAAAUAACAAUGACACCUGAGUUUGAGGAGGGGGUUACAGAUUUUCAUAAAAAUAUCACAAUCAGCAAGAAAUAUGGCCGCCAGAAUUUAUAUUUUGGCCGAACAUCCACCAAAUUCAGGGCAGCACCACUUGCUCUUACAGAAGAUGAUGAGAAAGCUGCAAAAGAGGCCCUGUGUCCACAAUCGCACCUGGUCACAGGGAAGAAAAAAGACAUCUUUUCCCGGGGAGACUAUUUAAGUCUUCAUGGCUAAGUGGAAAAAAUACAAGCGGUGAGGAUUACAAGGAUGCCGGGUGCCGAUCCUGGACCUGUCCUUCGGUGUGGCCAGAAGGUCCUAGAUGUUUCCCUUUGGAGGGAUGGAAGUCUUGUGUGAGCUCUAACUUGUAGAGCUCACUCAUCUCAAGGCAUUCAUCUGGGAAAGUGGUAAUGGGAAACUGAAUUCCUAUAUAUUACAUUACGAAAAGCGUAAUGUAGCUACAAUUCACUUGUCACACCACAUAGGUGCUAUGAGGGUCUUUUUUGGGGGGAUCUGAAGCACCUUCUUGCCACUCCCUAGCACCGCCCAUGGUAUGGGAUUCCAUGCAUCGAG